rnacentral:lncRNA from 1 species
AAGACUGAAUGCCUAAACAGCAAACACAUCACACCGAAUUCAAAAUGGCGAUGGGCAUGAGAUGAGUUCUGUUGCAGAAAUCAUUAGAAGUAUGUAAGAAUGGAAGUUUUGCUGUUUGCUUCUUAGCUGUGUUUGACCUCAGGUUCCAGGCAUGCUACAUAUUAUUUCUAAUUAAGUUAAAUUAAUCCUUGUUAUGCCUUAUUGAAGAGGCAAUGCACUUUGAACAAUAUUAGAGUGGUCUUUCCCAAUUUCUAUUUGAUAGCUUAGACAUUAAAGAUAAUAUAAUUUAUAUACAGUUCUACAAGUGAAGAAAGAGAUGCCCAGAGAACAAGAUCUAAGCACUUAUACUUCCCUAUGCCAUUCAUUUUCUUUUUGUAUCAAUUUAUGAAUUUUGGGUUACAAUAGAGCCUUGAACUUCAUUUAGUUACAUGAUUUCCUGAGUGAGUUUACUCAAACCCUAUAUAGCAGAUAGUUCCAUUCCAAAGAACGGUCUUAGGUUGACACUGUCUUGUACCACUCUUCUACCACUGAACUAUCCCCGUGAACUAUCUAUCUCCAAAUCUAGACAACAUGUCUAUAUACUGUGGCAGGUUGAAGUGGGUUUUGUUGAACGAGAGUUACAUUUGCUUGUGUUUUCGCUGUAUUUGUCAGUAGUGGUUAAUUAAACAGGAGACUAUUUGUUAACUUACAAAUCACUGAGGAAUGCUGUCUACCAAUCUAAUAGAAAAUAUUUAAAAUAAUAUAAUUGGUAAAAGAGAUGCUUUUUUUUUUUCAAAAUUAGCAUUGAAGGAAAAAUCACACUAGCAUUACAGUUGCUGUGUGUACAGUUCUAUAUCAGAGAGUGACAGUGAUGCUUACAGUUUUAAUCAGGAUUGGCAAUGUGAUUCUGGGUUCAUUCAGAAACAGAAAUCAUGCUCACUGGCUAAAUUUUUGAUGGUCAGUAACAGACUUGGCUUAUUUUUUCAAUUAUUUAUUAGAUUUUUACAUUAAAAUGAAUAUCAUUACUCAAAAAAAGAAAGAAAACAAAAAUUCCUUUAUACAUUUUGGUGAAUGCAAGACACAGUAUUACAGAGAAAUAAAUCAUGCAACCCACAUUGAGUACACGUGGUCAUUCUUAUUGCUAGGGGACACAUAAGUAUUAUACAGUUUCCUUUUAUCAGAACUCCAGGUCUACAAAAAUCAAUUUGUCUCUAUAAAUAGUACAUCUGCUAAAAUCUAAAUAUGUUAGUAUAAGAAGUUCACCUUGGCAUCUUUAUAGACAUCUCAGAAACUGUUAAUUUUCCAAUUUAACAUAGUUAAUAUUAACAAUAUUAACAAUAUUAAUGUGUUUCCAAUAUUAACAUAGCUAGUGACUUUUUCUCAGGAAUAUUUUAAUGUAAAAGAAUUAAUACUACAUUCAAUGAUAUAAUUCUCAUAUCUCCUUAGGUAACCCAUAUAUAAUAAAAAAAAAAAAGGAAAAUUCCAGUGCUAAUGGAAAAACCUGUACCAUGCAAUGAGUCACUUGAUACAAAUAAGUAGCCAUAGUAAAUAUGAUACCAAUCAUUCUUCAGUAAGUAAUUCAUCUCAUUCACUUCUAAUUAACCUAUGUGAGAUAAGAAAAAAAAAGACAUACUAUUUAUCAUAUAUAAAUCCAAACAAGGAGGAAGUAGUGUUCUUCCAUUGAGCAUGCCUAAAGGAGUAGUCAUGGCUUUCUGAUAUUCAUUAUUAUCUAUAUUGGUAGUUUGGCUAAGUGACUACUUGAAAUUUGUAGGUAAGGCUCAAGUGGACAAACUGACUUCUAGACUAGACCAGUACUGUGACAGUUACAGGUUCUCCAGUAAUUUUAGGUAAUACAAGGAACCUAAAGCCUCUAGAGAGACUAGAAUAUUUAUGCAGUUCUACUUCUUUCAGUCUCCCAGUGCUUUCAACAUUGUCUUUGAUUCUCAUUAUUUUUUGCAGUCUCUGGUUUAGCCUGUUUCUAGUUUGGAUGUUCCAAAUGUUACCUGUAGACUAGAUUGUGAGUGGCAUCUCCCAGGGGAUCACCGAAUGCCUAAUUCUAAGUCCAGUUUGGAUAUGGUGAGUCAGACCUGCAUUUUGACACCCACACUUUUUCUUUGAAGGAUGUAGGUGCCUAAUUGAGAAAUGAAUUCUAGAUUUUUCUGAGUACCUCACCUAGGUAGGCAAUCAUUCCAGUUAAUCCCCAUGUGUUUACAUUGUAAAAGGAAAAAUUAACUAUCAGGUAAUAAAUUAGCUUUUGUGCCAUGGUCUAGCAGUUUGUUCAAACCCUUCAUAUUCGUAUGGGUUAUCAAUUUUAUCAGGCAAGAAAAGCAAACAAUACCAGUUUGAGCCUCUCAUGUGUACCUCCUAUGUUGGUUGCAUUUGCAUUCCAAACAAAUCUCGCUUCUAGUUAUUUCUAACUUCUACCAUUUUUUUUCCAUCUUCACAUUGGAUGUUAUAAGCCAAAGUGGAUGACAAUGGAUUGGAGUGGAUGUUAAAUAAAUAAAUAUCAGCCUCACAGAAAGAGAAUAAUGAAACUGAAUGUCCCCUUAGCUUUUCUGUGGAUGCUGUAAUGGAUUCUGAUGUCAGAAUCCUUGGGCUGAGGGAUCAACCUAUGAUUGGCUGAAGGUGGGGGCCUGGUGGGACACGGAAGUUUGUAGGUGACUCCCUUUGAUUCGGAAAUUGGAGCAAUGAGGUUGCUCUGUGUUACUGAAGGACUACUGUGGGAAAUAGUAGUACAUAAUAAAAAUGCUUUUCAAAGGAGUACAUGCAAAUUAGGAGUUAAUGUAAGGUCCCAAAGAUAUAUGCCAGUCUUUUCCAUUUUGAAAAUCAGACAAAACCAAUAUCCAUGCACCAUUAUAUGUGUUUUUGUACUUUAUGUGUUUUUUGAAAUUGCCCUUUGUCUCCAGAGACAGGAAAGAGAAUUCCAUGCUCUAUGAACAUAAACAUUUUUCAAAAUACUGCUAUUAAAUCUGUCUGUCUCAGUAACCUCUGAGUCUUGAAAAAGGUUGUAUUUGGAGAAUCUUUGGGAACACUGUGAUUCUAACAUAUCCUAAAGUUUGCGAUACCAUUUUAACUAAGCUUUUAUUGCAGAUGUCUGGAAAAAUAAAAAAAAUUACAAU